GACGAACGCUGGCGGCAUGCCUAAUACAUGCAAGUCGAGCGAACAGAUGAAGUGCUUGCACUCCUGACGUUAGCGGCGAACGGGUGAGUAACACGUAAGGAAUCUACCUAUAAGCGGGGGAUAACAUUCGGAAACGGGUGCUAAUACCGCAUAAUAUCUUCUUCCGCAUGGAAGAAGAUUGAAAGACGGCUCUGCUGUCACUUAUAGAUGACCUUGCGGUGCAUUAGCUAGUUGGUGGGGUAAUGGCCUACCAAGACGAUGAUGCAUAGCCGACCUGAGAGGGUGAGCGGCAACAUUGGGACUGAGACACGGACCAAACUCCGACGGGAGGCAGCAGUAGGGAAUCUUCCGCAAUGGGCGAAAGCCUGACGGAGCAAUGCCGCGUGAGUGAAGAAGGCCUUCGGGUCGUAAAACUCUGUUAUAAGAGAAGAACAAAUUGUAGAGUAACUGCUACAGUCUUGACGGUAUCUUAUCAGAAAGCCACGGCUAACUACGUGCCAGCAGCCGCAGUAA
rnacentral:rRNA from 1 species